UACGUAGGUGGCAAGCGUUGUCCGGAAUUAUUGGGCGUAAAGCGCGCGCAGGCGGUCCUUUAAGUCUGAUGUGAAAGCCCACGGCUCAACCGUGGAGGGUCAUUGGAAACUGGGGGACUUGAGUGCAGAAGAGGGAAGCGGAAUUCCACGUGUAGCGGUGAAAUGCGUAGAGAUGUGGAGGAACACCAGUGGCGAAGGCGGCUUUCUGGUCUGUAACUGACGCUGAGGCGCGAAAGCGUGGGGAGCAAACAGG
rnacentral:rRNA from 1 species